GUUGGUUCGGGUUCUCAGUAGCGAGACCUGCGAAUUGUCUCUGUUGCACUAGAUGCAACAGGGAGGGUUUAAGUUCGAAAUUAUUAGUUGGGAUGGUUGGGUUUACUAUACUAGAACCAGGUUCUUCAUUGGAUGGUUGGGCAAAAUCCUUAAGAGGUCUUUGGUUUUGAUCUUCGGCCAUAGCUCUCCUAAUUCUAUGGAAAAAUAAACGUGCGCGAG
rnacentral:lncRNA from 1 species